UACGAAGGGGGCUAGCGUUGUUCGGAAUUACUGGGCGUAAAGGGCGCGUAGGCGGUGUGUCAAGUCAGGCGUGAAAGCCCCGGGCUCAACCUGGGAACCGCGCUUGAGACUGGCACGCUCGAGUUCGGGAGAGGAUGGUGGAAUUCCCAGUGUAGAGGUGAAAUUCGUAGAUAUGGGGAGGAACACCGGUGGCGAAGGCGGCCACCUGGACGGUAACUGACGCUGAGACGCGAAAGCGUGGGGAGCAAACAGG
rnacentral:rRNA from 1 species